GACGAACGCUGGCGGCGUGCCUAAUACAUGCAAGUCGAGCGGACGGAUGGGAGCUUGCUCCCAGACCGUCAGCGGCGGACGGGUGAGUAACACGUGGGCAACCUGCCUGUAAGACUGGGAUAACUCCGGGAAACCGGGGCUAAUACCGGAUAACUCUUUCCCUCCCAUGAGGGAAAGCUGAAAGAUGGCAUCUCGCUAUCACUUACACAUGGGCCCGCGGCGCAUUAGCUAGUUGGUGAGGUAACGGCUCACCAAGGCGACGAUGCGUAGCCGACCUGAGGGGGUGAUCGGCCACACUGGGACUGGGACACGGCCCAGACUCCUGCGGGAGGCAGCAGUAGGGAAUCUUCCGCAAUGGACGAAAGUCUGACGGAGCAACGCCGCGUGAGUGAUGAAGAUUUUCGGAUCGGAAAACUCUGUUGUCAGGGAAGAACAAGUACCGGAGUAACUGCCGGUACCUUGACGGUACCUGACCAGAAAGCCACGGCUAACUACGUG
rnacentral:rRNA from 1 species